GCUUCAUGCUCAGCAUGGAGCCCAACAUGGAGCUUGAACUCACAACCCUGAAAUCAAGACCUGAGCUGAGAUCAAGAGUCCCAUGCUUAACUGACUGAGCCACCCAUAACACAGAAUUUAUUGGCUAAAAUAUUCCUGAAUGGUUCAAGAGCCCACCAAAUUAGCAUAAAAGGUGGCACAGCCACGAACCCCCUGAGGUCUGACCUGUCCCUAUGCCACUGUCUUCUCCAUGACUUCCUGAGUAUAAGUGAACUCUUACAUGCUCGCUGAAGGCGAGUUGGAUCUCUCAACUGAGGAUGGUUUCCAGAUGAGUGCUUAGCCUGGUGGAGCUGCAAGUGCUGGAUGAACAUCGAAUGAAUAGAAUUUGGAGUUACUUUAACGACCUGAGGAGCAUUUGCUUCUGUGUUGUGAUCUGGAUGAUCAGGGUCAAAAGAAAAUACAAGAUGGAUUUUUCUGCCCCAUCUGGUGGCUUCAGUUCAGCAGAAAUGAGAACUAAACACAGCUGUGAAGACAGAAGGCUGAGGAGCAGCAUACUGUUAAUGACCUGGGACAACUCUGAGCCGCUGUUGGCAGUGACUCCCUCAAAUGGGUCCCCAGAAGCCCUGUGGCCUUUGGCACAGAAACAGCAGCGGCCCUUAAGGAACAAGAGUUGCUCUUUCUUCGAUUUGAGACAGGGUCUCAUUAUAACUGCCAUCAAGAUAUUCUGGGCCCUCACUUCUGAAAAAGUAGAGAUUAGGAGGGGAAACCCAUAAGUAUCAUUAUUUCCGUUGAAACUUUUGUCAGAAACGUUUGCCACCUCAAACACACAGACCUUUAAAUUUUAUAGGUUCAGAUACAUGAUGUUCAAACAGCUCAAAAUGUUUGUUUUAGGUGAAAAGUCCUAAAUUUUUAUCAAACUUAUUUCCCCUAUAGGGGAAAUAUAUGAUGAGAAAAUAUGACUACAGAUUCUCUCUGAUUAUAGCAGUUUCCAAAAAGGGCAAAAAGAGUGAGAAUGUGAGUAUGCAUGCGGAUGUAUGUGGGUGAAUUCUCUUACAGUUUAUACCACUAAGAUGUAUUAGUUAGACAACAGUACAGGAGAAAACAUGAACUAGGAUUGGAUUCUGAUAAAUACUGCAAUAAUUCCGGUGAGUGAUGCUCUUUAUUUUACGAUGAUCAUUUCUGAUGAAAAGUUCUCAUCCCUACCUGUUAGCAUAUUUGGGAGUUAAAGAUGUGAAAGUUAAUGGUAAAUAAAGUUUAAAAUUAAUUACA
rnacentral:lncRNA from 12 species